rnacentral:rRNA from 1 species
UACGGAGGGGGCAAGCGUUGUUCGGAGUCACUGGGCGUAAAGGGCGCGUAGGCGGUGCGUAAAGUCAGGCGUGAAAGCCCCGGGCUUAACCUGGGAAUUGCGCUUGAUACUGACGUGCUAGAGAACGGGAGAGGAUGGCGGAAUUCCCAGUGUAGAGGUGAAAUUCGUAGAUAUUAGGAAGAACACCAGUGGCGAAGGCGGCCCACUGGAUCGGUACUGACGCUGAGGUGCGAAAGCGUGGGGAGCAAACAGGG